UCCCUAGUAGCUCAGACAGUAAAGCAUCUGCCUACAAUGCAGGAGACACAGGUUCAAUCCCUGGGUCAGGAA
rfam:TPA: Bos taurus chromosome 6, whole genome shotgun sequence.